rnacentral:tRNA from 1 species
UUUUUUAAUAUGACAGAUAAGUGUGAUGAAUUUAAGAUUCAUUUAUAUAGAUUAUAUUCUAUUAUUAAAA